rnacentral:rRNA from 1 species
CAUGCAUGUCUCAGUACAAGCCAAAUUAAGGUGAAACCGCGAAAGGCUCAUUAAAUCAGUUAUGGUUCCUUAGAUCGUACCCACAUUUACUUGGAUAACUGUGGUAAUUCUAGAGCUAAUACAUGCAAACAGAGUCCCGACCGGAGACGGAAGGGAUGCUUUUAUUAGAUCAAAACCGAUCGGCUCGCGCGCGCUUCCCGUCCGCGGGUUCAGCGCCGCCGCCGCUCACUAUGGUGACUCUGAAUAACUUCUUGCUGAUCGCACGGUCUCGAACCGGCGACGCAUCUUUCAAAUGUCUGCCUUAUCAACUGUCGAUGGUAGGUUCUGCGCCUACCAUGGUCGUAACGGGUAACGGGGAAUCAGGGUUCGAUUCCGGAGAGGGAGCCUGAGAAACGGCUACCACAUCCAAGGAAGGCAGCAGGCGCGCAAAUUACCCACUCCCGGCACGGGGAGGUAGUGACGAAAAAUAACGAUACGGGACUCAUCCGAGGCCCCGUAAUCGGAAUGAGUACACUUUAAAUCCUUUAACGAGGAUCAAUUGGAGGGCAAGUCUGGUGCCAGCAGCCGCGGUAAUUCCAGCUCCAAUAGCGUAUAUUAAAGUUGUUGCGGUUAAAAAGCUCGUAGUUGAAUCUGUGUCCCGCGCUGUCGGUUCAUCGCUCGCGGUGCAAACUGGCAUGUCUCGCGGGACGUCCUGCCGGUGGGCGCGGUUCGUCGGUACUUGUCCGGCGUGCGAAGCGCGUGGUCCCAGUAAAUGGGGCUGCCGCUGCCUCGUCGGGCUGCCGGCGGGCGGCCCAACUUGAAAUCCUGCCGCGGUGCUCUUAGCUGAGUGUCGCAGCGGGCCGGCACGUUUACUUUGAACAAAUUAGAGUGCUUAAAGCAGGCUGAAAAUUUCGCCUGAAUACUGUGCGCAUGGAAUAAUGGAAUAGGACCUCGGUUCUAUUUUGUUGGUUUUCGGAAAUCCGAGGUAAUGAUUAAUAGGGACAGAUGGGGGCAUUCGUAUUGCGACGUUAGAGGUGAAAUUCUUGGAUCGUCGCAAGACGGACGGAAGCGAAAGCAUUUGCCAAAAA